CUGCCGGAGUAUGCUUCAAGAGAUCCGUGUACUUCAAGUGACGUGCGAACCCACCUUAUUGAUGGGUCACCGACACAGGACCCUCCAAUCCUCUAAUCUCCGCCGGGGUUAACUGUGUGUGAAGGUAACACGCACUGAUGCAUAUAUCUCCUAAGACUACAUUACCCAGCACAGACGUAGUCGUUCUCCAGCAAUAUUAGACAUCAAUAAUGUUUCUGGGUCGAAUCUGACACUGACACCAUGAUCACAUGCUGUUCGGAUUUUCUCAGUGCCAUUCGAAUUACCGAAUCAAUGUAAAAAUCCGAUUCGCAGUAACGAAAUCACUUGUGAUUAUAAAAUAAUCCAGAGAUCAUCUUUUGAGGUCAUUGUGUCAAUCGUUGACUGAGUCGUUCCGUGCCAGACAGACCUUGAUGCACACAGUAAAAGCCUCCGCGUAAUUUUUGCGGAUAACAGUUGUACGUUGUGGGUAUGAGCGGAAAACAGAUUUGAAUGGAAGACCGUUCCAACUGGUUUGAACUGGGAGAAUAAAACCUGAAACGAAGGAAGCCAUGUACAUGUGAGUUGGGAAUGCUGGGUUUUUAGUUUCAAGAUGAACAGAUAACAGCAAAACAAGAGGAGAAAAUUUCCAUCAAGGCUCAAAAGUGCUGUUGCAUCAAAACUUUGGAAAUGUAAGAGUACACUAUUAGGAAUUCAUGGAGGGCGAAAAAGUGGGGUAUUGAUUGGGUGCAUUGAAUCGAUUACCUGCUCUCCUGAAUUGCAUCAGUAAUCAACUUCCAGAUCCAUUUUGGGUUCGCCAUUGGCAUAGGGCCGCACGCACGCGGACAGGCGUAAACGCACUACAAAUCAAUGAAGAUUAUGCCUCACAGUGUUAAGAUGUUACCGUUGCCCGGCCUAAAGCGCAAUGAGGGUAGAGUUCCCCAAGCUAUCCAGCAUCCGGAUCCUGAAUCAAACCCGUCCAGAAAAGUGAGUAGAACUGAUUUGGUUUGAGAAUCUAUAAAUCUGAACUACCAACUCUGAAGUCCAAUCCUAUGGGUUGAUUGAAAUCCCUUUUAAUUCAGGAGCUCUUCCGCAUCGAAAUGAAGCCCGAUCUGCAGUUGAAGGAGCAACAACUUGGGGAGUCACUACGAAUCUGCACACGGAAGAUGGAGGCUGCAGAAUCGAACUCAUUAGGAGUGUCCCAAGCUUAACUACCUACAGUUGAAAGUAGGAGAGGCAGGCGGAUUCAUGGAACUCCAGCGUCGCCUUCGUGUUCGGAAGAAAUCAGGAAAACUGGUACAGCCCGAGCCUUCAGCUUAUCCCUAAGACGGCCGCGGAACUAGAAUCAAGCCAGGAUUAUUUAUCUCAUCGACAUUCAGUGCAAGCUCCACGUAUGUAGAAAACCAUGUACGAGGAAUAGAGGCACGCUAGAUCCUCACAUCAUGCAUCAUGUGCGCCGAAAAUAAAAAUCAGUAUCAAAAUCGACGUCUAUCAGUAAAACUUGAUGAACAUCACCAAUAAUCGAACAGACAAAAUGUUGGUUCGAGGAAUGAACUCAUUCAGAUGUCCAACCGCCAGCACGAAUGUUCAAUACGCCUAACCAACCUCCUCCUGUACAAUUCUGCCGCCACCCUGCAAAUCCUCACAACAG
rnacentral:lncRNA from 1 species